UGGCGGACGGGUGAGUAACGCGUGGAAAACCUGCCGUAUACUGGGGGAUAACACUUAGAAAUAGGUGCUAAUACCGCAUAAGCGCACAGCUUCGCAUGAAGUGGUGUGAAAAACUCUGGUGGUAUACGAUGGUUCCGCGUCUGAUUAGCUAGUUGGUGGGGUAAUGGCCUACCAAGGCAACGAUCAGUAGCCGGCCUGAGAGGGUGAACGGCCACAUUGGGACUGAGACACGGCCCAAACUCCUACGGAAGGCAGCAG
rnacentral:rRNA from 1 species